AUGGCCACGUGGGAAUUCUUAUGCCAUUGGCCUCUCAUCAGGCAAAGAACUUUGAAACUGUACUGUCAGUGGGAACCAAUUCUCAUGACCAUGAGAGAGUGUCGCACAUUGGGCCACACAAUAAGGCAUGUCCACAACACACAGGAAUCCCUGCAGAUAUCUCUUGGAGUUUCUGUGUCCAGUGAUAAGAAUAAACAGUCAAUUGUAGCAACCAUCAGAUGGCAAAGGCAAGGCAUGUCAGGAAUCACAUCCUUGGGAAUAAAAGGCUGUGUCACACUAUCAGACAAUUUGUAUCGAGUCCACUUUGCAAUGGAGGAACUGAAUUCACACCAUGAGCCAAUGGUGAAAUUAAGCCUACAAUGUGUGUCUCCUGUAAUUGGUCAUUCAUAGUGAACUUGCCCCUGGAUUAUGAUCAAUGAAAGACAAACCACAGAAGCAGACUUUCAGUAUUUGACUGGAGAUCCUCUUACUUGAA
rnacentral:lncRNA from 1 species